rnacentral:rRNA from 1 species
GAUGAACGCUGGCGGCGUGCCUAAUACAUGCAAGUCGAGCGAAUGGAUUAAGAACUUGCUCUUAUGAAGUUAGCGGCGGACGGGUGAGUAACACGUGAGUAACCUGCCCCGAACUCUGGGAUAACUGCUGGAAACGGUAGCUAAUACUGGAUACGACCUACGAAGGCAUCUUCUGUAGGUGGAAAGAAUUUCGGUUCGGGAUGGACUCGCGGCCUAUCAGCUUGUUGGUGAGGUAAUGGCUCACCAAGGCGACGACGGGUAGCCGGCCUGAGAGGGUGACCGGCCACACGGGGACUGAGACACGGCCCAGACUCCUACGGGAGGCAGCAGUAGGGAAUCUUCCGCAAUGGACGAAAGUCUGACGGAGCAACGCCGCGUGAGUGAUGAAGGCUUUCGGGUCGUAAAACUCUGUUGUUAGGGAAGAACAAGUGCUAGUUGAAUAAGCUGGCACCUUGACGGUACCUAACCAGAAAGCCACGGCUAACUACGUGCCAGCCGCCGCAGUAA